CAUUAAGUUACUUAAGAGCAAGUGUUGGUCUCUUAAACCAAAUUUUAGUAAUUAGCAAAUACUCUUAAUGA
rnacentral:tRNA from 1 species